GUGAGAGCUAAUCCAGAUUUUGUGAGUUGUAAUGACCUUGGAUAUCUUGUUGCAAAGAUGGCUCAAACUAGUAGACACGUCGUUUUUACUUUGGUACAUCGCCUCAUUGAGUUGGCAUUGAUUUUUCCUAUUGCAACUACAUUAGUGGAAAGAGCUUUCUCAGCUAUGACUAUUAUCAAGACAGAGUUGAUGAAUAGGAUGCGUGAUGAUUAGCUGAAUUAUAGGAUGGUUUGCUAUAUUGAGCGAGAUGUAUUUUCCAAGUAUUGA
rnacentral:rRNA from 1 species